CUAAAUGUUUUCUUCAGUAAUUAAUUUGGUACGACCUCAAAUAAUAUGAAAAAUAUUUUUUAUUAAGUGUGCACAAAGUGAUCGAAUGUCGAUGUUUUAGCUGUAGGUAUUAUACGAAAAUGAAAAUCACUAGAAAAAUCUGAAUCGAGAUUCUUUCAUUGGGAUUGAGUAAGGCCAGUUUUAAGCCAAAUGUUCAUAUCUUUUAAAUUUGAUAACCAAUGUAAAGAAGUCAGCGAUUUUUUUUCUACAGUGUGUAACAAUGAUGUAGGUCCAAACCAAAUGCGCCCAUCUUUUUAGGAAAUACGUCACUUGUCGCGCUCACAAAAGGCUACCCGCUGUUUGCGCUACGACGGUUCUAUUUCCAAAGAAACUGGUUCCGGGGUUUUCCAAUGCUGAUCAAUUUAUUUUAAACAGAUUUGGUUCGUUACAACUUACAACUUGUCUUUUUGUUAAAUCAAACUGAAACUUCUCUAAACUGUCAAGAGUCACCAAAACGGAGACUUUCUACCUGCCCUCUUAACAAUAGUUUCCAUAGUUUCCGACAUCACUUAUGACCAGUAAACUUGCGGCGAAAUGUGAUUUAGACAGCUUUUCUUUCAAACACAAUAUAUUUUUUCAAAUGUGCGGAUGUCAGACCGUAACAAUGAUUUAGGUUCACUUGUAAAAAUCAGCAUAGAAAGGCAAGGCAUUAAAUGAUGAGGAGAAAGGUAGAGCCCGAGUUUAUACACAAGUUGGAAAGACCCAUGUUCACAACGUUAAGGGAGCGGCUAAUCUGCCCAGCAAUCGUGAAAUUGCUCGGCAGAUUGGCCGUUCCCUUAACGUUUUGAACAAUUUAUUCCGAUUAGACUCCGAAUACGGAAAGAAGAAGGCUCGAGGGAGAAUCCCAAUUCUCUCGGCACGCGGAAGAAGGAUUACAGCUGCAGCAGCAAAUUCAACGAAGAGAACCCGGCGGCUGGAGGGCUUUAAAAGGGUCCCCCAUAUUCAUUAUGAUAAAAUAAAGUCGACUCCAUCGCUAAGAAAAAAUAAUCAGCUUCUAAAAGCACAUUUUGCCGAUCAACAUCAAACGUGGACAGCGCAAUGGCACUCGGUAUAUUCUUAGUCGCUGGAAUUCGUUGUGUUUGUGCAAAUUGUGUGGUCCGAUGAGAAGAGAUUUAACUGGGAUGGUCCAGAUGGCUUUGCAGAUAUAUUACUGGCAUGAUUUACGCUACUUUUCGAAGCGAAACUUUGGUGGUGGCUCGGUAAUGAUCUAAACGACUUCCUCAGCGUUCGGGAAGUCAAGUUUAAGAUUUCUGAACGGGAGAAUUAACACCGUAACGUACUAACAAGUACUCAGACGAUCAAGCGAUUGGCAUCAGUACACCUCCGACGAGCUGAAAGAGGCCAUUCAAGAAGCAUAGAAUCGGGCCACAGUUGAGCAACUUAAGAACUCAAUGCCGAACCGAAUAGAUUUGUUGAUCAAAAGUGCUGGAAAGGCAAUUAAGCAUUUGA